UGCCUACGCAGUAGCGGAAGAACGAUAUGCAAUGAUAAAGAACCUUGCAUGUAAUGGAAACGAAAAUCAUCUCAAUUACUGUUCGUAUAGUGUGCCGAGUUCUUUAGAUAAAUGUCAGUCUAAAUCAACUCGGAUUCUCUGUGUUGAAUGCGGUCGCCUAAAUGUUCCACGUGGCAAAGUACAGUCAUACGACUUCAAGACAAAUACUGUGACAGUUUUGUGUUAUACUGAAAAUCCAAGUACUGUUCAGUAUAUCUGCAAUAGAACAGGGUCUUGGACAAGCACUACAUCAUGUAGUCCAAUUCAAAUUCAGGACGUACGACUCGUUGGAAUAAAAAGUACCAUACUGGGAGGAACGGUGGAGAUCAAGAUAAACAACGUGUGGGGAACUAUUUGUGAAACUGGUUUGGGACAUGCUGAGAGA